rnacentral:rRNA from 1 species
UACGUAGGGUGCAAGCGUUAAUCGGAAUUACUGGGCGUAAAGCGUGCGCAGGCGGUUUCGUAAGUCUGUCGUGAAAUCCCCGGGCUUAACCUGGGAAUGGCGAUGGAGACUGCGAGGCUAGAGUUUGGCAGAGGGGGGUAGAAUUCCGCGUGUAGCAGUGAAAUGCGUAGAUAUGCGGAGGAACACCGAUGGCGAAGGCAAUCCCCUGGGCCUGCACUGACGCUCAUGCACGAAAGCGUGGGGAGCAAACAGG